UACGGAGGGUGCAAGCGUUAUCCGGAUUCACUGGGUUUAAAGGGUGCGUAGGUGGUGGGGUAAGUCGGAUGUGAAAUCUCCGAGCUCAACUCGGAAAUGGCAUUGGAAACUACCCUGCUUGAGGGUCGGAGGGGGGACUGGAAUGCUUGGUGUAGCAGUGAAAUGCGUAGAUAUCAAGCGGAACACCAGUGGCGAAGGCGAGUCCCUGGACGACUCCUGACACUGAGGCACGAAAGCUAGGGGAGCAAACAGG
rnacentral:rRNA from 1 species